GUCAAGGGGCGCAGCUACCAUGCAAGUCGAGCGGUAGCACAGAGAGCUUGCUCUCGGGUGACGAGCGGCGGACGGGUGAGUAAUGUCUGGGAAACUGCCUGAUGGAGGGGGAUAACUACUGGAAACGGUAGCUAAUACCGCAUAAUGUCGCAAGACCAAAGUGGGGGACCUUCGGGCCUCAUGCCAUCAGAUGUGCCCAGAUGGGAUUAGCUAGUAGGUGGGGUAACGGCUCACCUAGGCGACGAUCCCUAGCUGGUCUGAGAGGAUGACCAGCCACACUGGAACUGAGACACGGUCCAGACUCCUACGGGAGGCAGCAGUGGGGAAUAUUGCACAAUGGGCGCAAGCCUGAUGCAGCCAUGCCGCGUGUGUGAAGAAGGCCUUCGGGUUGUAAAGCACUUUCAGCGGGGAGGAAGGCGAUAAGGUUAAUAACCUUGUCGAUUGACGUUACCCGCAGAAGAAGCACCGGCUAACUCCGUGCCAGCAGCCGCGGUAAUACGGAGGGUGCAAGCGUUAAUCGGAAUUACUGGGCGUAAAGCGCACGCAGGCGGUCUGUCAAGUCGGAUGUGAAAUCCCCGGGCUCAACCUGGGAACUGCAUUCGAAACUGGCAGGCUAGAGUCUUGUAGAGGGGGGUAGAAUUCCAGGUGUAGCGGUGAAAUGCGUAGAGAUCUGGAGGAAUACCGGUGGCGAAGGCGGCCCCCUGGACAAAGACUGACGCUCAGGUGCGAAAGCGUGGGGAGCAAACAGGAUUAGAUACCCUGGUAGUCCACGCCGUAAACGAUGUCGAUUUGGAGGUUGUGCCCUUGAGGCGUGGCUUCCGGAGCUAACGCGUUAAAUCGACCGCCUGGGGAGUACGGCCGCAAGGUUAAAACUCAAAUGAAUUGACGGGGGCCCGCACAAGCGGUGGAGCAUGUGGUUUAAUUCGAUGCAACGCGAAGAACCUUACCUGGUCUUGACAUCCACAGAACUUAGCAGAGAUGCUUUGGUGCCUUCGGGAACUGUGAGACAGGUGCUGCAUGGCUGUCGUCAGCUCGUGUUGUGAAAUGUUUGGGUUAAGUCCCGCAACGAGCGCAACCCUUAUCCUUUGUUGCCAGCGGUUAGGCCGGGAACUCAAAGGAGACUGCCAGUGAUAAACUGGAGGAAGGUGGGGAUGACGUCAAGUCAUCAUGGCCCUUACGACCAGGGCUACACACGUGCUACAAUGGCAUAUACAAAGAGAAGCGACCUCGCGAGAGCAAGCGGACCUCAUAAAGUAUGUCGUAGUCCGGAUUGGAGUCUGCAACUCGACUCCAUGAAGUCGGAAUCGCUAGUAAUCGUAGAUCAGAAUGCUACGGUGAAUACGUUCCCGGGCCUUGUACACACCGCCCGUCACACCAUGGGAGUGGGUUGCAAAAGAAGUAGGUAGCUUAACCUUCGGGAGGGCGCAAACCAGCUUGGAUCCCUAUUCUC
rnacentral:rRNA from 1 species